rnacentral:snRNA from 1 species
GUGCUCAUUUCAGCAGCACAUAUACUAAAAUUGGAACGAUACAGAGGAGAUUACUAUGGCCCCUGUGCAAGGAUGACAUGCAAAUUUGUGAAGCGUUCCAUAUUUUU